rnacentral:lncRNA from 1 species
UAUUUGAUCAAGUUAUUUUUGCUCAAAACAUUUCUGUGCACCCAGAUUUAUGUAGAUUAUUCUAAUAUACCAGUGUGUUCACUGAAAGAAUUUUUCUCUAUAGUAUUUUUUGAGGGGUGAGGGAUAGUGCUAGGGAUCAAACCCCAGGCUUCAUUCCUGCCAGCCAAGCACCCUACAACUGGAAUGACAUUCCCAACUCUUUGAAAUACAGCACUGUUUUUUGUGGAGCAAAAUGUCUUGGAUACAAAAAUGUAGCCUUUUCUCAACAUUACCAUAUUAAGUCUGCAAAGCUACUGACACAGAGAAGGAAAAUAGAAUAACUGUUGGAAACAAUUUCAAUGGAUUUCAGGCCUCCAGCCAUUAGUUCUUUAUGCCAGUGGACAGUGGCACAAAUCUUGGUGAUAAAGUGCUGUGUUAGAUAUUUAGAAGAAAGGGAGGCGGUAGGUACUUUUAGAAACUGCUCAUAACAGUUGCUAAGUAAAUAUUUUUAUUAAUUGCAAAACUGAUUUUGCACUGUGCUAACAUAAUUUCAUUGAGUGUAAUGUUUUAGUUGAUUUAGAUUUAGACAGUAAAGCAAAUUAGCUUCUAGUUCUGUGUGUACAACCAGGAAAAAUGAAAGUAAAUCAGGCAAUUUUUUAGUGUCACUGACCACUCUUGUUUCCUGCAAAAUGAUGAAGAAUGUGUAAGCUAUUGUUUCUUAAAUUUUACAUGAUUGCAGGAUGAUUUUAUUUUAUUUUGCUGUGUUGCUUAGGCUGCCCUCCCGAUUCCUGGAAUCAAGUGAUCUUCCUUCUUCAUGCUCCCAAGUAGCUUGUACCACAGGGUUUCAUCUCUGGAUCUGGUUCCUGAAACUUCUUUGAGCUGAAAAUCGGGAUUGUUUGCUGUUUCCUCCCACCCUAACUACCCCUCCACCGUUGACUGUCUCUGGCCAGACAGAGUUUCAGCCUGUAUCGAUAGCACAUCCAUCUGUGAUCUCAAAUGUGGAUCUCAAAAACAACAGCAGCAGCAAAGGGGCCUGGAAAAGCUGGCUACCACAUUCACCUCCCCUCCAAAACGAUGUCCUUUUCUAAAACCAGCUUGCUGAAAGCUCCCCGUGUCAGCUGUUUGAGCCCUGUACAAUCAGCUCUAUACAAUGCAGGGGAGGCAGCAGGCUCUACUGAUUCACUAAACCACUCUGGAAAUUUGUAUAAUGCUGGCUGGCCCCUAACUCACUGGCGUUAGCAUUUUAGCUCAGGCCAUUAACUUUGCUUUUGUAUCUGGAUCUACUUGGAUUCUUGCCUCUUUCCAACCACAUUAAUUAUCUCAGCUUUCAUCAGGACUCUCCUUGGCUUGUUCCCAUUUUUAAUAAAGGC